rnacentral:rRNA from 1 species
AAUGAACGUUGGCGGCGUGGAUUAGGCAUGCAAGUCGAGCGCUCAUAGCAAUAUGGGAGCGGCGAACGGCGUAGUAAUAUGUAGGAACGUACCCUCGGGUCGGGGAUAGCCAUGGGAAACUGUGGGUAAUACCCGAUAAUCUCUGCGGAGCAAAGGUGUGAUUCCGCCUGAGGAGCGGCCUACACGAUAUUAGCUAGUUGGUAGGGUAAUGGCCUACCAAGGCUACGAUGUCUAGGGGGUGUGAGAGCAUGGCCCCCCACGACCGGAACUGAGAUACUGUCCGGACACCUACGGGUGGCUGCAGUCGAGAAUCUUCCGCAAUGGACGAAAGUCUGACGGAGCGACGCCGCGUGCGGGAUGAAGGCCCUUGGGUUGUAAACCGCUGUCAGAGGGGAUGAAAUCGUCGGGGGUACUCCCCCGAUGUUGACAGAGCCUCAAAGGAAGCACGGGCUAAGUACGUG